rnacentral:lncRNA from 1 species
GUUCUUUAAAGGUUAUUUUGGCCGCAGCCACAUUCAUUUUUGCUGGGAUUCAGAGGUACUUCCUUUUCUGAAUACUAGGAUUUGUGAUGGCAGUCUGAUAGCAGACUGUUAUGACCUUUGAAAAAUCUCAUUUUGAUGUUUGAUGUGAGUUUUAUUUAUAGCCAUUACUUAUAUUGUGUUAGCACCUUGAGCAUUCCUGUUGGAGUUGGAGUGUGCUCAGUGCUACACCAGUCUCAGCUAGAUGCAGCAAUUUAGUGCCAUUUGCUCACAAAGUUAGCUCAAGAAACGGUGGCCAACAUUUAGCGUGCCCAGAAGCUAAGAAGCAAUGAGUUCUGAUUGUCUGAAUUGUCAGAACAUUAACUGGUCUAGCAGUAUGCACCUAACUUUUCCCAUGUGCCCUAACUUCUCAACAUAGAUAGACUUUGGCCUGACCUGGCUUUGCAUCUGAAAAAAAAAAAAAAAAUAUCAAGGGAACUCUGAGGAGAUCUACUUUGUGCUAUGAUAGGGAUAUACAUUUCACUCACUUUAACAGCUGGCACUUAGUCAUGGCAUCUGGGCUAUCUCUAUUUACAAAGGAAAGGAGAGGCUUCUCUGGAGGUUGACUUAGCCAUGCAUAUGAUAUGAGAAGGAAUUGCACUCUUGAGAUGGUCACCUCACCCCAGUAGAGGAAGAAGUAGUCUGUUGAAUGACCAAAGUUAGCCACUCCAUCCUCUGUGUCUCAACACUUCUGAGAAAGUAGUCCCUGCUCUUUCACUCUUGGCCUGUCUUGUCAGAAGAGUUCUUUCAAGUGACGACUGUCUCACAGUCUGUAUUGCUGCAAUGCCUAGAACACUGGUCUUGCUGGAACCUCUAAACUUUGCUGUGUCUGUGUUGUACAUUGCGUUGGAUAAUUUUGAAGAAUUCAGCAAAGUGUAAGAAUAAAAAGAAUGUGAAAUAGGC